GGAUCUUUGCUUUGGACAAGAGGUCGCCACACAACCGGGUGCGGUGCGGGAAUCCAGCUGCAAAAAAAGCAGGGUUGCUGUGGACAGAGAGACAG